AGUGAACGCUGGCGGUAGGCCUAACACAUGCAAGUCGAACGGCAGCACAGUAAGAGCUUGCUCUUACGGGUCGCGAGUGGCGGACGGGUGAGGAAUACAUCGGAAUCUACUUUUUCGUGGGGGAUAACGUAGGGAAACUUACGCUAAUACCGCAUACGACCUACGGGUGAAAGCAGGGGAUCUUCGGACCUUGCGCGAUUGAAUGAGCCGAUGUCGGAUUAGCUAGUUGGCGGGGUAAAGGCCCACCAAGGCGACGAUCCGUAGCUGGUCUGAGAGGAUGAUCAGCCACACUGGAACUGAGACACGGUCCAGACUCCUACGGGAGGCAGCAGUGGGGAAUAUUGGACAAUGGUCGCAAGCCUGAUCCAGCCAUACCGCGUGGGUGAAGAAGGCCUUCGGGUUGUAAAGCCCUUUUGUUGGGAAAGAAAAGCAGCAGGUUAAUACCCCGCUGUUCUGACGGUACCCAAAGAAUAAGCACCGGCUAACUUCGUG
rnacentral:rRNA from 1 species